CCGGCCCAGCGCCGUUUCUUAUUAAGGCUACGACCGAGCACCAGAAGUACGCCCCUCAACAAUGUGAUAUGGACAGAAUGAUGUAACAGCAGAAACGUGAUUUUUGAUGGAUAUGAGACUUUGAUCUCGGAAAACAAAGCGUGCGAGAUGACACAAGUGACCACUGAAAAGAGAGCGCGAGUGAGAAGAAAGAGAAAGAGCAAUAUCUGGUAGAGGUACAGCUUCUCCCUCGGCAUCUUGUUCUGGCUUUUGUUAUCCACUGAUCUCUCCAGCAAUGGUCUCAUGAUGACGUUACAGGUCCAGGCCGGUGUACCAGCUUAAACCGCUUUAAUUUAUGCAAAUCGGCUGAACUGGCAUCCAUCAUCAACAUUCUGGUUGGCUUGGGGGAAGAAAAGCUUUGACUUUCAGCCUCUGGCACCGACAGGCGGGUUAAGCCCAGCUGUAGCUGUGACUAGAUGUGCAGCGUAAAUACCCACUAUUGCAGAAAGCCUUUGCAGGAUGAUGAAUUUCAAAUUGCCCUGGGGAUGUUGCACUACAUCGGUCACGGGCAAGACCCUAGGUG